GCACAUGGAGUUUCCCAAAUUAGGGGUCAAAUUGGUGCUGUAGCCACUGGCCUACACCACAGCCAUAGCCACGCCAGAUCCAAGCCACAUCUGGGACCUUCACCACAGCUCACCGCAACGCCAGAUCCUUAACCCACUGAGCAAGGCCAAGGAUCGAACCUGUGUCCUCCUGGAUACCAGUCAGGUUCAUUUCCGCUGAGCCACAAUGGGAACUCCUAAGCUUAUUAGAACAAGAAAAUAAGUCUUGGUAAGUAGGCUGAUGACUUUAGAAUCCUGAGUUGUUGGGAAGCAGGCUGAAGGGUGGCCCUCUGCCUUUGCUUGAUGAGCACCCAUGAUGGUAUUUUUUCCCUCCUUCUAGAUCAGUUUCAGCAGGUUGGCAUCAGCAGAUUCCAGGUGAUGGACAGGCAGCUUUAUUCUGACAGUCUGUUGAUUCCCAGUGACGCGUGGCCUUCCUAAAGAGGUAAAAUAAUUCCUCUUGUCAUUGUCCCUGCCCUGCCUCAGUCCAGCCCUGUCAGGAGUCCGUCCUCCCAAUCUGAGUGUCACCAAGCCCUGGCAGACCCAUGGGGACCCGCUGCCACCUGGGACCUGUGCUCCCCCAGUUCUUCAGCCCCAUGGGGCUACCUGCUGUAAAGGUGUACAGCACCUGUUCCAGGCCUUUCCAAGGUUUCCCGAUGCUGCCAGCACCUCAGCCCUGUGUGUCCCAAAGUGCCACCAGGUGUGAUAGGCAGCAUGGACUGAGGUGGCCUAUGGCUAUGUCUGUUGCGUUUUAAUAGUUAUUAAUUCCUAGGCACAUUUCAUACAUUUUAUUACUGAGGACAAGGCUAAAAUGAGCAUUUAAGUUAAAAAAUCCUUACUUUUAAAGGAAAAUAUUAAGUACAUAAAGGGGCAUGUGUCUGUGGCCCAUAUUGUGACAAUCACAUGCAGUAACUGCAUUUAGGAGACAUCAGCUGAGCAAAGCAUAGCCUGGCGUAAGGGCAGUAAGUCACUGAAUUUCCGUGAGCACCACACUCAAGUGAGUGUUGAUUUGGGCCUGUCCCUUCAGUUCCUUGAGUCUCCGUUUACCCACCCGGAAAACACAGGGUUGGACUGAAUCCGUGAUUCUCAGCCCUGUCUUUACCCUUGAAUCUCCCAGCAUCCUCUCCAGAUCAACUCAGGUAAUAUCCCUGACUCAGUGUUUAGCAGCUUCUCCAGGUAGCUGUAUGUGGGCAAGGUGGAGACUCACUAGAUACACUGCUGUCUGAGGCUCCUCCCAGGUAGAAGAUGAGUUGAUUUUUUGAUCCCAGGAAAAGUAAGUACUGAUUCGGUGAUAGCAGAGGAGGCUCACGUCCCCUCAGACUCUGCCAUAACUCGUGUGAUUUUUAACCAUCGUCCAGGCCUGGGUCAACAUUGGGCUGGAAGGUCCCUGAAGGCAGGGACCAUGGCCUUUAUCUGGGUUUCAGCAGGUCCUGGGCCAGGGCUUGGUGUGGAGGAAAUGGUCAAUAAACGCUGGAUGAGAGAAGAAUAAAUCGAAGUUCAGGAAUAUGACUUUAUAAGGGCAUCUAGGCUUAAUCAUGUGGUCAGGGAUGAGUAACUAAACUCACAAGAGCCUGACUUUUGUACCAGAAUUCCAGUUUAUUGAUUCCUCAGGGGAUCUCCGCUGAGUCUAAGAAGUAGAACCAGGAGUUCCCGUCGUGGCGCAGUGGUUAACGAAUCCGACUAGGAACCAUGAGGUCGCGGGUUCGGUCCCUGCCCUUGCUCAGUGGGUUAACGAUCCGGCGUUGCCGUGAGCUGUGGUGUAGGUUGCAGACAUGGCUCGGAUCCUGAGUUGCUGUGGCUCUGGUAUAGGCUAGUGGCUACAGCUCCAAUUCGACCCCUAGCCUGGGAACCUCCAUAUGCCGCGAGAAUAACCCAAAGAAAUAGCAAAAAGACCAAAAAAAAAAA
rnacentral:lncRNA from 1 species